GGCGAACCGUGCGAACGUUGUUCGGAAUCACUGGGCUUAAAGGGCGCGUAGGCGGCUUGCCAAGUCGGGGGUGAAAUCCGGCAGCUUAACUGUCGAAGUGCCUUCGAUACUGGCGAGCUCGAGGGAGGUAGGGGUCUGUGGAACUUCUGGUGGAGCGGUGAAAUGCGUUGAUAUCAGAAGGAACGCCGGUGGCGAAAGCGACGGACUGGACCUCUUCUGACGCUGAGGCGCGAAAGCUAGGGGAGCAAACGGG
rnacentral:rRNA from 1 species